ensembl:miRNA
UUGGCCAAAAAGUUCGUUUGGAUUUUUCCAUAACAUAUUAUGGAAAAACCUGAGUGAACUUUUUGGCCA